UAGGGAAUCUUCCGCAAUGGACGCAAGUCUGACGGAGCAACGCCGCGUGAGUGAAGAAGGAUUUCGGUUCGUAAAACUCUGUUGUUAGAGAAGAACAGCGCAUAGAGUAACUGUUAUGCGUGUGACGGUAUCUAACCAGAAAGCCACGGCUAACUACGUGCCAGCAGCCGCGGUACUACGUAGGUGGCAAGCGUUGUCCGGAUUUAUUGGGCGUAAAGCGAGCGCAGGCGGUCAAUUAAGUCUGAUGUGAAAGCCCCCGGCUCAACCGGGGAGGGUCACUGGAAACUGGUUGACUGAGUGCAGAAGAGGAGAGUGGAAUUCGAUGUGUAGCGGUGAAAUGCGUAGAUAUAUGGAGGAACACCAGUGGCGAAGACGAAUCUCUGGUCUGUAACUGACGCAGAGGCUCGAAAGCGUGGGUAGCAAACAGG
rnacentral:rRNA from 1 species